UACAGAGGGUGCGAGCGUUAAUCGGAAUUACUGGGCGUAAAGCGUGCGUAGACGGUUAUUUAAGUCGGGUGUGAAAGCCCCGGGCUCAACCUGGGAAUUGCAUUCGAGACUGAAUAGCUAGGGUACGGUAGAGGGAAGUGGAAUUUCCGGUGUAGCGGUGAAAUGCGUAGAUAUCGGGAGGAACACCUGUGGCGAAGGCGGCGAUCUGGGUAGAUACUGACGCUGAGGUGCGAAAGCGUGGGGAGCAAACAGG
rnacentral:rRNA from 1 species